ACCCGCUGAACUUAAGCAUAUCAAUAAGCGGAGGAAAAGAAACUAACAAGGAUUCCCCUAGUAACGGCGAGUGAAGCGGGAAGAGCUCAAGCUUAAAAUCUCUGUGCAAGUUUUGCAUGGCGAAUUGUAGUCUAUGGAUGCGUUAUCAGUACAGCCGCGCGGGCCAAGUUCCUUGGAAGAGGACAGCAUGGAGGGUGAUACUCCCGUUCCUGCCUGUGCGUGUUGUGCGUACGAUACGUUUUCUUUGAGUCGCGUUGUUUGGGAAUGCAGCGCAAAGUAGGUGGUAAAUUCCAUCUAAAGCUAAAUAUUGGUGCGAGACCGAUAGCGAACAAGUACCGUGAGGGAAAGAUGAAAAGAACUUUGAAAAGAGAGUUAAAGAGUACCUGAAACUGCUGAAAGGGAACCGGGUCGUUGCCAGUGUCUAUAAUCUGCGGCAUAUUUCAUUGUCGGAUGCGGCCGUGCGGCGCGUUUGGUAGUGGGUUCGUCCUGCACCGCGUGUUGCUGUGGUUGUGUUUGGUGGUGCCCUGUGCUGUGGUGGGACGUCAGAGUCAGUUCGUAUGCUGCGGGAAAUGGCUGCUGGGGAGGUAGGUCGGGGGUUCGCCCUCGGCUGUUAUAUCCUGGUGGACUAGUCGUCGUGGUUGGGACUGAGGUGCCUACAACGUGCUUUUGAGUGUGGAGGUUUCUUCGUUUGCGCGUCGGUUGGAUAGCUUGCUAUGCAGUUGGCGUUGUGUGCGGAUGGAUGUCUUUGCUAACUUGUUGCCGUUCGGGACUUUGACGAAAUGGCGCGAUCCGACCCGUCUUGAAACACGG
rnacentral:rRNA from 1 species